rnacentral:rRNA from 1 species
UACGUAGGGGGCAAGCGUUGUCCGGAUUUAUUGGGCGUAAAGAGCGUGUAGGCGGCCACACAGGUCAGCUGUGAAAACUCGAGGCUUAACCUCGAGAUGUCAUCGGAAACCAUCUGGCUAGAGUCCGGAAGAGGAGAGUGGAAUUCCCCAGUGUAGAGGUGAAAUUCGUAGAUAUUGGGAAGAACACCGGUGGCGAAGGCGGCUAUCUGGACCGUAACUGACGCUGAGGCGCGAAAGCGUGGGGAGCAACAGG